rnacentral:rRNA from 1 species
CCUACGGGAGGCAGCAGUGAGGAAUAUUGGUCAAUGGACGAGAGUCUGAACCAGCCAAGUAGCGUGAAGGAUGACUGCCCUAUGGGUUGUAAACUUCUUUUAUAUGGGAAUAAAACGUUCCACGUGUGGGAUUUUGUAUGUACCAUAUGAAUAAGGAUCGGCUAACUCCGUGCCAGCAGCCGCGGUAAUACGGAGGAGCCGAGCGUUAUCCGGAUUUAUUGGGUUUAAAGGGAGCGUAGGUGGAUUGUUAAGUCAGUUGUGAAAGUUUGCGGCUCAGCCGUAAAAUUGCAGUUGAAACUGGCAGUCUUGAGUACAGUAGAGGUGGGCGGAAUUCGUGGUGUAGCGGUGAAAUGCUUAGAUAUCACGAAGAACUCCGAGUGCGAAGGCAGUUCACUGGACUGCAACUGACACUGAGGCUCGAAAGUGUGGGUAUCAAACAGGAUUAGAUACCCCAGUAGUC